CCUGACCCUAAAGGUGUUGGAAGUGUGGCUGCUGUGUCACAUGUGUGUCAGUAGGUGGCAAAGAGGAGAAAGACUAUGUCUAUACUCAGUGUUCAGAAUGAUGAACAUCUAAAUGAUUAGUAGUUUAGAAAA
ensembl:snoRNA LOC120101298 small nucleolar RNA SNORA17